CUCUCUGUGCCUGCUGCAGCAACACCUGCCCCAGCUACUGGUGGAACAGAGACAAAUAUCUGGGGCCUGCAGUUCUUAUACAGGCCUAUCACUGGAUGAUUGACUCCAGAGAAGACUUCACAGAAGAGUACCUGGCCAAGCUGCAGGACCCACUCUCUCUGUACCACUGCCACACCAUCAUGAACUACACAAGGACUUGUCCCACAGGUCUGAAUCCAGGGAAGGCUACUGCGGAAAUCAAGAAAAUGUUGGUAACCUAUAAGGAGAAGAAAGUUUC
rnacentral:lncRNA from 1 species